AAAUUGAAGAGUUUGAUCAUGGCUCAGAUUGAACGCUGGCGGCAGGCCUAACACAUGCAAGUCGAGCGGUAACACAGAGAGCUUGCUCUCGGGUGACGAGCGGCGGACGGGUGAGUAAUGUCUGGGAAACUGCCUGAUGGAGGGGGAUAACUACUGGAAACGGUAGCUAAUACCGCAUAACGUCGCAAGACCAAAGUGGGGGACCUUCGGGCCUCAUGCCAUCAGAUGUGCCCAGAUGGGAUUAGCUAGUAGGUGGGGUAAUGGCUCACCUAGGCGACGAUCCCUAGCUGGUCUGAGAGGAUGACCAGCCACACUGGAACUGAGACACGGUCCAGACUCCUACGGGAGGCAGCAGUGGGGAAUAUUGCACAAUGGGCGCAAGCCUGAUGCAGCCAUGCCGCGUGUAUGAAGAAGGCCUUCGGGUUGUAAAGUACUUUCAGCGAGGAGGAAGGCGUUAAGGUUAAUAACCUUGGCGAUUGACGUUACUCGCAGAAGAAGCACCGGCUAACUCCGUGCCAGCAGCCGCGGUAAUACGGAGGGUGCAAGCGUUAAUCGGAAUUACUGGGCGUAAAGCGCACGCAGGCGGUCUGUCAAGUCGGAUGUGAAAUCCCCGGGCUCAACCUGGGAACUGCAUUCGAAACUGGCAGGCUAGAGUCUUGUAGAGGGGGUAGAAUUCCAGGUGUAGCGGUGAAAUGCGUAGAGAUCUGGAGGAAUACCGGUGGCGAAGGCGGCCCCCUGGACAAAGACUGACGCUCAGGUGCGAAAGCGUGGGGAGCAAACAGGAUUAGAUACCCUGGUAGUCCACGCCGUAAACGAUGUCGACUUGGAGGUUGUGCCCUUGAGGCGUGGCUUCCGGAGCUAACGCGUUAAGUCGACCGCCUGGGGAGUACGGCCGCAAGGUUAAAACUCAAAUGAAUUGACGGGGGCCCGCACAAGCGGUGGAGCAUGUGGUUUAAUUCGAUGCAACGCGAAGAACCUUACCUACUCUUGACAUCCAGAGAACUUAGCAGAGAUGCUUUGGUGCCUUCGGGAACUCUGAGACAGGUGCUGCAUGGCUGUCGUCAGCUCGUGUUGUGAAAUGUUGGGUUAAGUCCCGCAACGAGCGCAACCCUUAUCCUUUGUUGCCAGCGGUCCGGCCGGGAACUCAAAGGAGACUGCCAGUGAUAAACUGGAGGAAGGUGGGGAUGACGUCAAGUCAUCAUGGCCCUUACGAGUAGGGCUACACACGUGCUACAAUGGCAUAUACAAAGAGAAGCGACCUCGCGAGAGCAAGCGGACCUCAUAAAGUAUGUCGUAGUCCGGAUUGGAGUCUGCAACUCGACUCCAUGAAGUCGGAAUCGCUAGUAAUCGUAGAUCAGAAUGCUACGGUGAAUACGUUCCCGGGCCUUGUACACACCGCCCGUCACACCAUGGGAGUGGGUUGCAAAAGAAGUAGGUAGCUUAACCUUCGGGAGGGCGCUUACCACUUUGUGAUUCAUGACUGGGGUGAAGUCGUAACAAGGUAACCGUAGGGGAACCUGCGGUUGGAUCACCUCCUUA
rnacentral:rRNA from 1 species